rnacentral:rRNA from 1 species
GAUGAACGCUAGCUACAGGCUUAACACAUGCAAGUCGAGGGGAAACGACAUCGAAAGCUUGCUUUUGAUGGGCGUCGACCGGCGCACGGGUGAGUAACGCGUAUCCAACCUGCCCACCACUUGGGGAUAACCUUGCGAAAGUAAGACUAAUACCCGAUGAUAUCUCUAGACGACAUCUGAAAGGGAUUAAAGAUUUAUCGGUGAUGGAUGGGGAUGCGUCUGAUUAGCUUGUUGGCGGGGUAACGGCCCACCAAGGCUACGAUCAGUAGGGGUUCUGAGAGGAAGGUCCCCCACAUUGGAACUGAGACACGGUCCAAGCUCCUACGGGAGGCAGCAGUGAGGAAUAUUGGUCAAUGGACGGGAGUCUGAACCAGCCAAGUAGCGUGCAGGACGACGGCCCUAUGGGUUGUAAACUGCUUUUAUAGGGGGAUAAAGUGUGCCACGUGUGGCAUAUUGCAGGUACCCUAUGAAUAAGGACCGGCUAAUUCCGUGCCAGCAGCCGC